CAACGCGCGAUCGCCUUGAGUUGAUCAUGGCUCAGGAUGAACGCUAGCGGCAGGCCUAAUACAUGCAAGUCGGACGGGAUUGGGGAGCUUGCUCCCCAUGAGAGUGGCGCACGGGUGCGUAACACGUAUGUAACCUACCUUGUUCAGGGGGAUAGCCUCUCGAAAGAGAGAUUAAGACCGCAUAAAAUCACAAUGUGGCAUCACAAAAUGAUCAAAUAUUUAUAGGAACAAGAUGGGCAUGCGGAACAUUAGCUAGUCGGUAAGGUAACGGCUUACCAAGGCUACGAUGUUUAGGGGAUCUGAGAGGAUGACCCCCCACACUGGUACUGAGACACGGACCAGACUCCUACGGGAGGCAGCAGUAAGGAAUAUUGGUCAAUGGGCGGAAGCCUGAACCAGCCAUGCCGCGUGCAGGAAGACGGCCCUAUGGGUUGUAAACUGCUUUUGCAGGGGAAUAAACCUCAUUACGUGUAAUGAGCUGAAUGUACUCUGAGAAUAAGGAUCGGCUAACUCCGUGCCAGCAGCCGCGGUAAUACGGAGGAUCCAAGCGUUAUCCGGAUUUAUUGGGUUUAAAGGGUGCGUAGGUGGCUUUUUAAGUCAGGGGUGAAAGACGGUAGCUUAACUAUCGCAGUGCCUUUGAUACUGAAGAGCUUGAAUGAACUAGAGGUAGGCGGAAUGUGACAAGUAGCGGUGAAAUGCAUAGAUAUGUCACAGAACACCAAUUGCGAAGGCAGCUUACUAUGGUUUUAUUGACACUGANGCACGAAAGCC
rnacentral:rRNA from 1 species